AUGACAAAACCACUAGAAUAUCAUUACUCCAUAGUAAAACGCAUUCUAUGUUACUUGAGUGGUACGAAAAGACAUGAGCUUCUUGCACCAGCUCAACACCUUCCUAAAUUCUCUAUAUGCGCAUAUAAUGAUUUUGAUUGGACCAGUGACCCUGAUGAUCGACGCUCUAUUUCAGGAACUUGUGUUUUCUUUGGUCCAAAUCUCGUGGCAUGA